UACGGAGGGUGCAAGCGUUAAUCGGAAUUACUGGGCGUAAAGGGUGCGUAGGUGGUUGUAUAAGUUAACUGUGAAAUCCCCGGGCUCAACCUGGGCAGGUCAGUUAAGACUGUAUGACUCGAGUAUGGGAGAGGGUAGUGGAAUUUCCGGUGUAGCGGUGAAAUGCGUAGAGAUCGGAAGGAACACCAGUGGCGAAGGCGGCUACCUGGCCCAAUACUGACACUGAGGCACGAAAGCGUGGGGAGCAAACAGG
rnacentral:rRNA from 1 species